AGAGUUUGAUCCUGGCUCAGAACGAACGUUGGCGGCGUGGAUUAGGCAUGCAAGUCGUACGAGAAAGCCACCUUCGGGUGGUUAGUAAAGUGGCGAACGGGUGAGUAACGCGUGGGAAACCUGCCCUUGAGAUGGGGAUAACAUUCCUAACGGAGUGCUAAUACCGAAUAAUAUCAUUGAGUCUCAUGAUUCGAUGAUCAAAGUCGGCCUCUUCUUGAAAGCUGGCACUUAAGGAUGGUCCCGCGUUCCAUUAGCUUGUUGGUAGGGUAACGGCUUACCAAGGCUCCGAUGGAUAGCUGGUCUGAGAGGAUGGUCAGCCACACUGGGACUGAGAUACGGCCCAGACUCCUACGGGAGGCAGCAGUCGAGAGGCUUCGGCAAUGGGGGAAACCCUGACCGAGCGACGCCGCGUGUGUGAUGAAGGUCUUACGAUCGUAAAGCACUGUCAGAGGGGAAGAACUGUCUUAGUGUUAAUAGCGCUAGGAUUUGACGUUACCCUCAAAGGAAGCUCCGGCUAACUCCGUGCCAGCAGCCGCGGUAACACGGGGGGAGCAAACGUUGUUCGGAAUCACUGGGCGUAAAAGGCGCGUAGGCGGCCCAGGUAAGUGGAAUGUGAAAUCCAAUGGCUCAACCAUUGAACUGCAUCCUAUACUGCUUGGCUUGAGGACNANAGAGGAGAAUGGAAUUCCCGGUGUAGCGGUGAAAUGCACUGAUAUCGGGAGGAACACCAGUGGCGAAAGCNAUUNUCUGGCCCGNUCCUGACGCUCAGGCGCGAAAGCUGGGGGAGCAAACAGGAUUAGAUACCCUGGUAGUCCCAGCCGUAAACGGUGAACACUAGGUGUGGGGGGCAUCGACCCCUUCCGUGCCGCAGNUAACGCAUUAAGUGUUCCGCCUGGGGAGUACGAUCGCAAGGUUGAAACUCAAAGGAAUUGACGGGGCCCCGCACCAAGCGGUGGAGCAUGUGGUUUAAUUCGAUGCAACGCGAAGAACCUUACCCAGACUUGACAUGUAUUGGACAGGUGUGGAAACACACUUUCCCUUCGGGGUCGAUACACAGGUGCUGCAUGGCUGUCGUCAGCUCGUGUCGUGAGAUGUUGGGUUAAGUCCCGCAACGAGCGCAACCCUUGCUNUUAGUUGCCAGCACAUUAAGGUGGGCACUCUAAGGGGGCUGCCGGCGAUGAGCCGGAGGAAGGUGGGGAUGACGUCAAGUCCUCAUGGUCCUUAUGUCUGGGGCUACACACGUGCUACAAUGGCCGGUACAGAGGGCCGCGAUACCGUGAGGUGGAGCUAAUCCCAAAAAGCCGGUCUCAGUUCGGAUUGCAGUCUGCAACUCGACUGCAUGAAGCCGGAAUCGCUAGUAAUCGCUGAUCAGCAGGCAGCGGUGAAUAUGUUCCCGGGCCUUGUACACACCGCCCGUCAAGCCACGAAAGUUGGUAGUACCCGAAGUCACCUACUUAACCGUAAGGGAAGAGGUGCCUAAGGUAAGACUAGCGAUUGGGGCUAAGUCGUAACAAGGUA
rnacentral:rRNA from 1 species